ACUAGGUGUCAUGGUCAUUGUUGACCGUUCAUAUAAUCCCUGCAAUUGCUCUGCAGCUUAUGCGGGGAUUAUACGACGGUCAGCAUAGACUUUUGACAUCAAAGA
rnacentral:pre_miRNA from 2 species